rnacentral:rRNA from 1 species
AGAGUUUGAUUUUGGCUCAGGAUGAACGCUGGCGGCGUGCUUAACACAUGCAAGUCGAACGAAGCAAUUUAACGGAAGUUUUCGGAUGGAAGUUAAAUUGACUGAGUGGCGGACGGGUGAGUAACGCGUGGGUAACCUGCCUCACACUGGGGGACAACAGUUAGAAAUGACUGCUAAUACCGCAUAAGCGCACAGGACCGCAUGGUCUAGUGUGAAAAACUCCGGUGGUGUGAGAUGGACCCGCGUUUGAUUAGCUAGUUGGUGGGGUAACGGCCUACCAAGGCGACGAUCAAUAGCCGACCUGAGAGGGUGACCGGCCACAUUGGGACUGAGACACGGCCCAAACUCCUACGGGAGGCAGCAGUGGGGAAUAUUGCACAAUGGGGGAAACCCUGAUGCAGCGACGCCGCGUGAGUGAAGAAGUAUUUCGGUAUGUAAAGCUCUAUCAGCAGGGAAGAAAAUGACGGUACCUGACUAAGAAGCCCCGGCUAACUACGUGCCAGCAGCCGCGGUAAUACGUAGGGGGCAAGCGUUAUCCGGAUUUACUGGGUGUAAAGGGAGCGUAGACGGUAAAGCAAGUCUGAAGUGAAAGCCCGGGGCUCAACCCCGGGACUGCUUUGGAAACUGUUUAACUAGAGUGCUGGAGAGGUAAGCGGAAUUCCUAGUGUAGCGGUGAAAUGCGUAGAUAUUAGGAGGAACACCAGUGGCGAAGGCGGCUUACUGGACAGUAACUGACGUUGAGGCUCGAAAGCGUGGGGAGCAAACAGGAUUAGAUACCCUGGUAGUCCACGCCGUAAACGAU